rnacentral:rRNA from 1 species
UGUGUACAUAGUUUAUACUAAGUGACCCAUAGGUUGAGGAGGCGGUGACUGUAAUGGUGGAGAAGGAUGAGGUAGCCAACACUGUUUUUAUAUAUAUAUACAUUUUAAUUGGGUUAGCCCCCAAAAUAUUGGGACAUAUAAGAAAAGACAACUCUGUUCUGCAGAGUAGAUGUUGACAUUAUAGUUGCGCAGGAACUUUGUUGACUCUAGAGAGCCUCGGGCAAAUCGCACAUGCCCGUGGAGGCGACUUUUCAUGUGGAUGUCAUCCAUAUCAACUUUCGAUGCCAGUUUCUGCGCCUACCCUGGUGACCACGGGUAACGGGGAAUAAGGGUUCCAUUCCGUACAGGGACACUGAGAAACGGCUACCACAUUCAAGGAAGGCAGCAAGCGCGCAAAUGACCCACUCCCGACGCGGGAAGGUAGUGAUGACAAAUAACAAUACAGGACUCUUUAGAGGCCCUGUAAUUGUAAUGAGUCCACUUGAAAUCCUUUAACUCUGAUCAAUUGGAGGGAAGUCUGGUGCAGAGCCACUGACCCGUGCGUGCUGCAGCUGGAACUCCACUA